rnacentral:lncRNA from 1 species
GAGACAUUUUCUGGCUGAGAGACAGAGACAUCCCAGAAAGGUGUCAAGUUUAAAGAGGGCUGAAAAAGACUUGAGCCAAAGCUCUUGGAGGAGGGUGAGCGAUUGAUUGCAGGCAUUGCUUACAUUUUCUUCUUACUGUUACAGUUAAAGGAAGGAUUGUGGUCUUCACCCUGCUGCCCCACCCCACCCUCUCUUCUUUGUUCAGAUGAAUGCAGAUCCACAAACUCCUUAAGAGAUGGAAGUGGUAAGUGCAUUUCAUUCUUAGAAUGACAGCUACUCUCUAUCAGAUCCCUUUACCUUCAUCAUUCAUGGUUAGCAG